AGAGUUGUAUCCUGGCUCAGAUUGAACGCUGGCGGGAUGCUUUACACAUGCAAGUCGAACGGCAGCAUGGAGAGCUUGCUCUCUGAUGGCGAGUGGCGAACGGGUGAGUAAUAUAUCGGAACGUGCCCAGUAAUGGGGAAUAACUAAUUGAAAGAUUAGCUAAUACCGCAUACGACCUACGGGUGAAAGCAGGGGAUCUUAGGACCUUGCGUUAUUGGAGCGGCCGAUAUCUGAUUAGCUAGUUGGUAGGGUAAAAGCCUACCAAGGCGACGAUCAGUAGCUGGUCUGAGAGGACGAUCAGCCACACUGGAACUGAGACACGGUCCAGACUCCUACGGGAGGCAGCAGUGGGGAAUUUUGGACAAUGGGGGAAACCCUGAUCCAGCCAUCCCGCGUGAGUGAAGAAGGCCUUCGGGUUGUAAAGCUCUUUCGGAAGUGAAGAAAACUUAUUUCGUAAUAUGUUAUAAGAAUGACGGUAACUUUAGAAGAAGCACCGGCUAACUACGUGCCAGCAGCCGCGGUAAUACGUAGGGUGCGAGCGUUAAUCGGAAUUACUGGGCGUAAAGCGUGCGCAGGCGGUUUUGUAAGUCAGAUGUGAAAUCCCCGAGCUUAACUUGGGAACUGCGUUUGAAACUACAAGACUAGAGUGUGUCA
rnacentral:rRNA from 1 species